rnacentral:misc_RNA from 1 species
UCCGACUUAACGUCGGCAGUCUGUCUAGAGUGCCCAACUAAAUGCUGGCAACUAAACAUAAGGGUUGCGCUCGUUGCGGGACUUAACCCAACAUCUCACGACACGAGCUGACGACAGCCAUGCAGCACCUGUGUAGCGGCCCGAAGGCGUCAACAUUUCUGCUGACUUCCACUACAUUUCAAACCCAGGUAAGGUUCUUCGCGUUGCAUCGAAUUAAACCACAUGCUCCACCGCUUGUGCGGGCCCCCGUCAAUUUCUUUGAGUUUUAACCUUGCGGCCGUACUUCCCAGGCGGGAUACUUAUCGCGUUAGCUACGACACUGAAGGGGUCAAUACCUCCAACAUCAAGUAUCCAUCGUUUAUGGCGUGGACUAC